CGGCGUGAACUUGGUUGGAGUUUCGCAAUAUAGCAGACGCGAGAUUCGCAACGCUCAAACCAAUAGCCCACGAUGUGUAACCCUUUAGCUUGAUCACCUCGUAUGCGCUAUCUACAACCUGUUUGUGCAGUUCACCCCAAUUUUCAGUGUCUUUGUCCGUACCAACGUUUUCGUUGAGAUCGCGCAACCUGACGCCAGCAACGUUCACUCCAGACCAUACGGAUAACAAUCGUUAAUCAGCUGUGAG
rnacentral:misc_RNA from 1 species